CCCUUCUCCAGAGCGCCGUCGACCCCACGCCACGCAGAGGUGAAGAUACGCAGGACGUCCUCUAAAGCAACUUCCGUGGGUGCCAGGUUGUGGGCUGGGGGCGGUGCUGACCUUGAGAGAGCGGAGGAGGCGCAGGCGCAGCACAGUUUAAACUUGAUUUUGUGAGGGGACGAACAGCGUGACAAUUAAAAGAAGAUCUGGGAAUCAUCCAAUGUGAUAAUUUAUGUGAAAUCUUUCUGCAAACUAUACAGUAUGAUAAAAAUAUAAGGUAGUUUCACUGGAAACAACAGAAGACUAGAAGCUGAUGUGACGUGGCAAUAUCAACCAGGAAUACCCAUCUCGAGUUCUGGAUAUGUGCUCUGAGAAGGUGCCCAUGUCACCGACCACACUGGAGGCCAAUGCAGAUACUGGGGGAAGGUUCCAUGGUAGCUAAGUGUGGACAAGCUAAUCACUGAAGUUCCCUGAUGCAGAGUUGAUAAUCUCUCUAGAGUUGGAUGAAAGACUGUGCUGCCUUGAAGCUCUGAGAGAUGCCAUGCCAAUUCAAGGCAGGGUCUUUAUUGUUGAAACUCUUGCGUAAUGACAUCUUUAUUCAGGUGAAAAUACAGGAUGAAUUUCAACUAUAUGAUAUUGUUUAUGUUCCUCAGACAUGUUAUUUGUCUUUACAAAGAUUGGUUUCAAUAAACUGUGUGACUGAUAUUAAAUAAACAUGGAAUUUUACACAUUCAUAAUA
rnacentral:lncRNA from 1 species